GUUGAAAUUCCUUUGUGGUGAAAAUACAAUUUCUAAUGUGUUCUGGUACUUCAUAAAGGUGUCUCUUCGUUGAUAGGAUAUUUAUUAUACUACUCAGAGGCAAAUCAUUCACUACGCAAACUAAGCGGGCACUAUGCAUUCAAUAUGCAUCUCUUACAACAAUUUAAUACUUUACUUAUUUUCUUGCGUCGGUUGUGGGGCCCAGAGAAUUCUCAGUUAAGGCUUCCAAAAAUACCUCCCUCCAAAAAUUCUAAAAAAUUGAAAAUUUCCCAAGGCUAUCUUCUUACCUUUUUUUUGAGUAAUUUAGCAAAAUUUUAUAAAUUAUUUUUUUUAUGCCAAUUAGUUGAAAUACGUUUCUUUUCACUCGAAUAAUGCUUUAAAUAAAGAAUAGAAUAAAAAAUCAGAAAAAAAUUUUCAACUCGAAAAUUUCAUAAGGCUUACCCCUUACGUUUUUUUUUGAGAAAUUUUGCAAAAAAAAUGAAAUUGAUUUAUUUUAAUGCCAAUCGGUUGCAAUGUGUUUCUUUUCACUCAAGUAAUGCUUUAAAUAAAAAAAAGAGUGAAAAAUAAUCAAAAAAUUCAAAAAAAUGACAAUUUACUAAGGCUCAUUUUUGCACCAAGUUUUGCCUAUAACUCGGUAGGUGUCCAACGGAUCGCCAAUCAUUAACUUGUGGUCGAUAGAUGGCAUCAAUGGCUACAUUUUCUUCUUGGACGGCCAUGCCCUCAGAUGUCUGUGCCAGAAGUUGUUCGAGGAACCAAGUUCCUUACCCUGUUUGAGAAAAUGUAAAAUUUUCCUCAUUUUUGCACCAAGUUUUGCCUAUAACUCGGUCGGUAUCCAACGGAUCGCCAAUCAUUAACUUGUGGUCGAUAGAUGGCAUCAAUGGCUACAUUUUCUUCUUGGACGGCCAUGCCCUCAGAUGUCUGUGCCAGAAGUUAUUUGAGGAACCAAGUUCCUUACCCUGUUUGAGAAACUGUAAAAUUUUCCUCAUUUUUGAGCAAUUCAGCAAAAUUUUUAAAUGUGAUAUAUUUUAUUGCGAAUUUGUUGCAAUAAGUUUGUUUUCACUCAAAUAAUGCUUUAAAUUAAAAAAAGAAUAAAAAAUCUGAAAAAAAUUUCAAAAAAAUUUUCCACUCGAAAAUUUCAUAAGGCUUACCCCUUACGUUUUUUUUGAGAAAUUUUGCAAAAAAAAUGAAAUUGAUUUAUUUUAAUGCCAAUCGGUUGCAAUGUGUUUCUUUUCACUCAAGUAAUGCUUUAAAUAAAAAAAAGAGUGAAAAAUAAUCAAAAAAUUAAAAAAAAUGACAAUUUACUAAGGCUCAUUUUUGCACCAAGUUUUGCCUAUAACUCGGUCGAUAUCCAACGGAUCGCCAAUCAUUAACUUGUGGUCGAUAGAUGGCAUCAAUGGCUACAUUUUCUUCUUGGACGGCCAUGCCCUCAGAUGUCUGUGCCAGAAGUUAUUUGAGGAACCAAGUUCCUUACCCUGUUUGAGAAAAUGUAAAAUUUUCCUCAUUUUUGAGCAAUUCAG